GAUAUUUUAUGGUGAUAGCUCAGUCUUCAACAUUCUUACCUGGAAGUAAAUCUCAUUGGAAUCACUAGGAUUUAUUCUGGGGGCCAUUCAGGCAGCUGAGUCCAAGCAAUAGGAUUCUAAAAUACUAGAAGUAUAAAUUCCAAACCAUUAUAAAUAUGCAGAUGGACUGCUGAAUCCUGUCCUGAUGAGUUUGUUGUGAUGAGUCUCCUGUGUUGUGCCAUGCAUUUAUGAAACGGUUUUUUGCUUUCCCAAUGUACAGAUCUGUACAUGUCUCACUGCAUUGCACUGCAUAUCUCACAGUGAAACGUUUUCAAAGAAAAAAACAAGA